CCCGGUUAGUUCAGUUGGUUAGAACGCCACAACUUAUUAAGAUCGUGGAAACGCGGGUUCAAUUCCUGCACUGGGCU
rnacentral:tRNA from 1 species